ACAGAGAGUACUGACCCAAAAAGUUGUUAACGGCCUGUAAGACAUCCAUGGAAAUUGAAUAAGAAAAAGUUUUUGCCUUUGAAAACCUUUGAAAUGUUAACCCACCGCUUGGACUUUGGAGACCACUGUGCCCUGUUCAUAAUCCCAGACGUCGCCAAGCAGCUCCACUCCCAUUUCGUUCACCAAAGCAUGGAUGAAAUCAUUGAUGCGAUCCUCUUCCAUCAAGUUAUCAAAGUUAAUCCAUAGUCCUCCCAAACGCAGCUCAAUCUGUAAUGAAGAUAUGGCCAGGGGAGACACCGAUCUCAAUCGAAACGAAAUGAGGAUUGAAAAAUUGAAAUUGAAUGAAGAUGGCCUUACUCGGCAUUGCCAUCACCGGCCAAGUUGAGGAUAUAGGCCAAGGAUCCUUUGGCGGUGUAUAAGGAUUUGAAGUACGUGAGUGGCAAGGUAACGUUAAUGGUGUUCUUCAAACCGGGCACCGGGGAUAAGCUGAGCGCAGGCACAUCAAAAUCGGACAAUCCGUGCAACUGAAAGUUGUCAAUGGACCCAGUGAAGCUAGAAAACAAAUGAAUUUGUAACGCCUCUAAGCGCACAUAUUACAGCAUUUGCUUACUCC
ensembl:ncRNA asRNA:CR43471 antisense RNA:CR43471